ACACGUCUGCGGUGUUACCCACGACUGCCUGGGACCUGGCCAAGGGCUCCACACACCAAGACCAAGGCAGCAGGAAGGAGAAAGGAGGGAAGGUAAAAGACUACUGAAAAGCUUUCAGCUGGGGCUGGGCAUGGAGGCUCACACCUGUAAUCCCAACACUUUGGGAAGCCGAGGCUGGUGGAUCACUUGAGCCCAGGAGUCUGAGACCAGCCUGGCCAACAUGGCAAAACCCUGUCGCUACAAAAAAUACAAGAAUUAGCCAUGUGCACCUGUGGUCCCAGGUAUGAUCUCACCACUGUACCUCAGCCUGGGUGACAGAGUGAGACCCUGAUUCAGAGAAGGGGGAGGGGAAGAGGAAGGGGAAGGGGAAGGGGGACGGAAGGGGGAAGGGAAGGGGAAGGAGAAAGGGAAAGUGAAGGGGGAGGGGAAGGAGAAAGGGAAGGGGAAGGGGAAGGGGGAGGGGGAGGGGAAGAGGAGUGGAAGGGGAAGGGGGAGAAGGGGAAGGGGAAGGGGGAAGAGAAAGGGAAGGAGGAGGGGGAGGGGGAGGGUCUUUUGGCAAGCCAUGAAGUCGGCCCAGCCCUUCUGCUUAUAUUGCUCAGGUUGUAGUCACAGGACCAUGCCCGGUGCUCGUGAGGAUGGGGAGGUGAUUGCUAGCUGGGAACUGCGCACUCAACAAUGACAGGGAGAUGCCUCUGGGUGGGGAAGGCAGUGCAUGGACGCUGGUCAGCCGGCCACUCCAGGCAGUGGGAAGGUGCUCAGAGGCCCGAGGAGUCAACUCUGGUGGGCGCUGGCUGUGCAGCCGGUGCUGGUGGCCUGAACACGGCAGAGGGCCAGGCCGGGCCUCACUCAAAGGAAGCAGGGAGACAGGAGCGGGGCUGUGGGCUUCUCUCGAGAGCUGCCAGGCAGCCAGGCAGGCUGGGAAUGACAUUUGCCAUGCUGUGCCCCCGGCUCUGGCACUGGGCGGCUCCUGAGGCCCAGGGAGGAGCGUGACCUGCCCACGGGUCCACCAUCAUCGAAUGCGAGUCAGAGUCAGACCAAUGCUGUGGCUCCAGGACAAUGCCGUGUCCCCUCCUGGGGCUCAAAAAAGCAUGACAGGGAUUUGGGGGACAGGGGUGUUCACUUCUGCCCUCCAACAGGCUGAGGGGGAGGGUCUGGUUUCUCUGCUCACCUGUGCUGAGACGGUGCUGGGGAGAGGCAGGCGGGAGCCCCAGCCCCCUCCAAGUGUUUGCCAGCCCAGGCUCUGUCCUGUCCAGGCAUGUCCUGUCCACCUGCCUCCCUCUAGGGACCGUGGGGGCAGGCCUGGAGCACUGAGCUCAGGGCCCCGAGCCGUCUAGAGGGACAGCUUCCUCACACCAUGCACCUGGGCUGAGCUCAAGUCGCUGCAGCCCCUGACCCCCAACUCAGAUAUCCCUUUGCAGCCCACCUACUACCCAAGAAGCUGCUGUGUAGGGACAGAGCCCACCAGGGCACUGGGGACACGUGGCACAGGCCAGAGAGCUCCUGAGGCCUGGGAGGCUGCCAUGUUGGGUCCCAGAUGGACACACCCCAGUACGCCCAGUCUCAGGGCCUGAGCCACCCACUGGUUCUAGAAUUCUCUCAGGAGAAGAGAGCCCCUCACGGCCCCCUUCAUCACAGGCUGCGCGGCCUCAGCCUGGCCAGCCCCGAGACCCUUCUAGCUUGCGGAUCCCCCUCCUGCUCCCCCGACCCUGACUCUCCCAGAGUGGACUGGCCAGGUCUGGGUCUGGUCUGCGGGCAGGAGCCCUGCCCAGGCGGCCCCCAGGGCCGGCCCUCCUCUCCCCGACUCCAUGCACGUCUAUAAACGCCCUGCACAACCCAGGGCCUUUGCCCGUGCAUCCUCUGCCCGGGCGCCCUCUACACCAUCUGCUGAACCCGGGUGUGCUCUCUGGGCCCCUCUGCAGGUGCCUCCUCUGCUCCUUUGGGAAAGCCCCACCUGUCUUGAGGUCCCCCACACCUGUGCUUCCCAGCACCUCGGAGACCCCAGAACCACUGAACAAAGAACACUGGGGUCCUGGGCUGCCACAUGGAGGACCCCAGGGUGGCAGGCUCACAACAGCACAGGUGUCCUCCUACAGCUCCCAGGGCCGGGAGCCUGAAACCAAGGUGUCCACAGGGCCCUGCUGCCCCCAGAGGCUCUGGGCAGAGCCCUUCCGCCUUUCCAGCUCCCCCUGGUUCCCGUGCUCCUCGGCCUGUGGCCCCAUCACUCUGGCCUCUGCCUUCAUCUCAUGCCGAGAUCCCUGAAGCGGGCCCAGCUCCGUUCACUGCUCCCCCGGCCUCCUGCUGUUUCCCACACGCAGCCAUGGUACAGGGCAGCUCAUCCCACCACCUCCCCAACCGCAGCCUCCAGGGAUGUACACCCUGCCUCAGGGGCUGUGCCUGGGCCCUGGCUGGUGGAGGGCACAGCCGUCAGGGAAGGCCCUCAGCUGCAGGAUGCCGUGCCUCAGAGACCAACCAGGCCCUCGAAGGCACUGUGGCCGGCCCAGAUGUCAGCAGCUCCAGCAAUUAGGCUGGGACAGAUGGUGCCUGGUGACACAAGGGGACUGUGGGGGCCACAGGGGACCCUGCUCACCUGGACCUACCGUGGAGGCCAGGGAGGGAGAUGGACUCGAAGGGCGGAAGGGCCCAGAGAAGGCACAUUUGCAGAGCAGCGGCCGCAUUUCCAGAGCUCGGGAGCCCAACAGGAAUCCCGUCUGGCCAUGGGACCACCGCCCUUGGGGCUGGGGGAUGCCGCAGGGGACGGCAGAGGGCAGACAGGCCAGGAAAAGGGGAGGGCAGAGGGCAGACAGGCCAGGAAGAGCGCCUGCAAGUGCCCAAGGAAGGGACCAAACCCAGGCCCCUGGACCAGAGCGGCCGCCUGGUGGGGCAGGCUGGAAGGGGCCAAGGCCAGCGCCAAGGGGGAGCAGGUGAGGGACCCUGGUGGGCAUCUGUGGGAACAAGGCCACGUUUCUCCCUGCGCACGCUUUAAUCAAGGACAUUCCUGUGGUUCUCCAAAAGUGUCGCACACUACAUGGGUGUCGUGAGCUGGGCUCCGUGAGAGUGUGCGGGUGGCUGGGGGCAGCAAGGGAGCAGCAAGGCCUCAAACCCGGGCGGCGGCCUGGCCUGCGCGCCAGGAUGUGCGGUGUGAGUUUCCCGAGCUGCAGGAACAAGGUCCACAGACUGGGGAGCUUCACACAACAGAAACUGCCUCGCAGUUCCCGAGGCCAGAGCCCAUCGGGGUGGCUCCCUGAGGCCGUGAGCCCGGACUGUCCUGGGCCGCCCCCUCUUCCACAGGCUGAGAUCAUCCUUGGCGUCUGUUGGCCUGCGGCCGCCUCGCCCAACCUCUGCCCUCAUGUCCACACGGGUCCUCCCUGUGUGCAUGUUGGUGUCUGGAUCUGCCCUUUCUACUGUGGGGCAACUGUCGUCGAGGAUAGGGCCCACCACACAACACGGCCUCAUCGUAACUAAGUAUAGUCAGCAGUGAUCCUAUUUCCCAAUAAGGUCCCAUUCUGAGGUCCUGGACUUCAACAUGUGAAUUUUGGGGGCCACAACUCUACCCUGGCAUGCAGAGAGAGAAGGGGGGCGUGGAGUCCCCCUGGGGGGAAGUCCCUUGGGAAGUCACAGGCCCCCUUGGUGGGGCAAUUGGGACGUGGGUGUGAGGGUCCUGGGUACAGGGAGCCUGCCUACCAAGGCUCUGCCGACAGCUAUUUCUAAAUUCCUCGUGGAAAAUACCCUGUGGCCCUCCUCAUCUGGAGCGAGCGACGGGCUGGAGGGUGUCUGAGCCAGGCUGGUGCCGGGGAGCAGAUGUGGGUGGCCCAACCCAGCCCCUUGUUCUUGUUCCCCACCUCCCAGGAAAGGGGGAGGGUGGGCGGAGCCGGCCCUCCUGGGCUCUCUCCUUGGGUCCCGGAGCCACCUGGGGAGGGGAGGCUCAACCCCCUACCUUGGCCAGCUGGCUGCAGGUCUCUCAGGGCUGGCACAGAACAGCUGGGCUUUGCCAGGUGUCCCCCAUCCUGAUGCACGGCCCGGUGGUGCGGUCUCCAGGCCUCCCAGGAUUCUCAGCUGCGCCGUCUCCCCAGUCCCCAAACCCCAGUGGUGGCCGCCAGGGGACUGGACCGUCAGUCUGUGGAGCUGGGGCUGCAGCUGGUGGUGUUUCCAACAAGGGUCUUUUGGCUGCCUGGCUCCAGGGAGAGGCCUCUGGAGGCAAGGGGUAACCUACCGGGAAAGCCUCAAAGGCACCCCCAUCCCCGCCCCGCACAGACUCCACCGGCCCCCCAUGGUUCCUCCAGGCCCUCUUCAGUCAUGACAGGCAGUGCCUGGGUGCCCGGCCUGCUCAGCACACCCUGGGCCUCAGCCCCACCCAAGCCUUGGCCUAGCAUGGGAGCCACCACGGGAACACACACACGGGCUGGAGGGUGUCUGAGCCAGGCUGGUGCCGGGGAGCAGAUGCGUCAGAUGGAGGAGAAAAGCCCUGGGGCAGCGGCUUCUGGAGCUCUGGCCAAGGAUGGGCUCUGAGCACACCCCUGCCCGGCCCAGAGCACCAGGCCGGGGCAGGGUCAGGAACAGCUUGAAGCCCCCUGCAAAGUCUGUCCCUCCUCCUGGAGCCUCAGCUGCCCCUCCAACACAGCCCUCUGUGGGAGCCUAGAUGGCCCCCGUGUGGCCAUGAGACAUGGGCGGGCGCUGGUGGAUUCCUCUGUGUCAGGUGACAUGGUGGCACCCCGGCCGCAGGCUGUGCCCCGGCUGUGGCGUUAAGAAGGGCUAUGGAUCUAAAUAAAAUCCAGUCUCUUUGCUGGACCUGUUGUCAGUUUUAUGGCUCUGGGGUUAUAGAAACACGGGGAAGAGACCCCCAGGAGGCAGGGUGGGCUGGACGAGAGGCCACCAGGUAGGGCCCUCCCCUCCCUCCAUGGGAUACCACCCUGGGUGAUUCUAAAGGUGGGGAGUCCGCUGAGAAAGGGAGAUGGGAACCAGAGUUCCUAGACAAUUCGGCACCCGAGCCCAGGUGAACUUUUAACUCCUGCCUGCUGGGGUGGUGAAAGCCCAGGCCCCCCUGAGGCUCCCCCAGCUCCCCAAGCCCACUGGGGCCCCAAUUUGGAUUCCGAGGGGCCGUCCUGGCCUUUGCUCACGCCCCCAGCUUAGAAGUUGGAGACCCAGGUGGGAGAGCGUAGGACUGCCCAGUAAGCAGUGCUCAGGAGGGGGGCCAGUCCUCACUGGGGCCCCUACACAGGACCUCCCAGAAACUGCACGGCAGACACCAGGGUUAAACAGGCUUCCAGCCGGCGAGGUGGCUCAUGCCUGUAAUCCCAGCACUUUGGGAGGCCAAGGUGGGCAGAUCACUUGAGGUGAGGAGUUCAAGACCAGCCCGGCCAACAUGGUGAACCCCGUCUCUACUAAAAAACCCCACAAAAUUAGCCGGGUGUGGUGGCUGGUGCCUGUGAUCCCAGCUACUCGGGAGGCUGAGGCAGGAGAAUUGCUUGAACCCGGAAGGCAGAGGUUGCAGUGAGCUGAGAUCGUGCCAUUGCACUCCAGCCUGGGACACACAGAUAGAGACUCUAUCUCAAAACAAACAAACAAACAAACAAACAAAAAACCACCCAAAAACCAAAACAAAAAAACCAGGCUUCGGCUGUCGAGGGCACCUGGGCCAUGCGGCUCCGUGGGCCAAGCUCUGCCCACCUCGGCGUUCCUGAGCCCGCCCACCUCCCCCAGGCAUUCUUUCCUGAAGCAGGCCAGGGCUUGUAGGGGAUUCCACCGCAGCUGGGGCCCCGCAUUUCUUUGGUGGGAGUUGUGGGGCAGAGGGUGCUUGGGUGCCCGGUGUGGGAGGAGGAGGAGCCUCACCACAGACGUGCAGCGGGUGCAGCAGACCCAUGCUCUUGGAGACUGAGGUUCCCAGAGACUGCAGAGGUCCGAGCCAGCCCUCCAUCCCUCUUCCCAGACGGUGCCCAGGGCUGUCAUCCCCUGUGACCUAAUGGAAAGUUGCUGCCCUUGCAGCAGCCAUGUCGGCGGUGGGAGCCGCGGAGCCGGCUCAGAGAGGUUCCGUAGCAUGCCUGGGUGACAUAGUCUUGGUGCUCAGGAAGCCAAGCACGGCUCCUGUGGGACAGUGAUAUCCCGUCAGUUCUGGCGAUCACACUCGCGUGUGGGCAUUGAAGCUGGAAGGUGCUGGCUGGAAGACGGCCACGGCGCUUCCUUUCUCCUCCCCUCCUCCUGCUCACACCUCAUCCCAAAGCAUUUAGGCUGGGCACGGUUGGGGGCAGCCCAGGGUUGGGUGCAGGAGCCCGAGGGAGGUGGGAGCGACGGAGUUACAAACCAGGAAGGGGGAGCACCAGGAGGAGCCCCGUGCCGGGACCUCUACAGGUAUUUGGAGGUGUUGGUGCAAAGCCUCAGUGCACGUAGCCAGAUGCAGAGUUACAGAGCUAGAGGUGGAUGUGUGGUAAACACACACACAUGCGUCCAACACACCAUCCACCCACACACGCACCACACACACGUGCAACACACCAUCCACCCACGCACACACGCGUGCAACACACCAUCCACCCACACCACACACAUGCAUGCAACACACCAUCCACCCACACAUGCACCACACACAUGUGUGCAACACACCAUCCACCCACACAUGCACCACACACAUGCGUGCAACACACCAUCCACCCACACAUGCACCACACAUACGUGCAAACACCACGCAGCCACACACCCACCACACACGUGUGUAACACACCAUCCACCCACACACGCACCACACACGUGUGCAACACACCAUCCACCCACGCACACACGCGUGCAACACACCAUCCACCCACACAUGCGCCACACACACCAUCCACACACACACUAAACACACACACGCACCACACAAUCAUACACGGCCAUACACACCACACACACUAUACAUAGACACACACACAUUAUACAUACCCCACAAAUGCCACACACACGCACACAACCACAGACACAUGCACCAUACACACACACCACAGACAUAACACAUCCCACACAUACCACAGACACAUCAUACACACACGCCAUAGACAUAACACACCCCACACAUACCACACACACAUCAUACACACACACCCCCAACAUCUCUUCUUGCUCUGUCCAGAGGGAACCCAGGCGCCACAAGCACACCCAGCACCCAGAUCUCGGCCGCUAACUCCCCCUCCCUCAGGAGGUUCCCUCUCCCAGAAACCAGGGCUCCUGGGGGAAAUGGCGAGCCCAGCCUGGGCAGGAAAAGCACAAGAACAUCCCAGGGAGCCGGGAAGCAAGAAUGCUGGGAUCACAUCAGGGACACACGGAAGGACCCAGGGGCCAGCCGAUAGGGCUCCCACAAGGCCGAGCCUGGGAUACCCUGAGCAUCUCAAUAGUGAGUCAGGGGUCCUGACCCACAGAAUAAGAUAGGAACCCUGAGCCCAUACUGCUGGAGGCUGACCGAAAGCUCACUAAGGCCCAGGAUACUCAGCGUGGAAGACACCCCCAUCCCCACAAAGCAUUCACCAGGUCCACAGAAGAGGUGGCUGCAGCGGUGAAGCCUAGCCCAGCAGGCGACAGGAAACUCAAGAGCCCUGGGUCCCACGGCCACUGUGCACCACAGAUGGGAUGCAGUGUCCAAAAGGCUUCACUUCUGUGACAGGGACACAUGGCCUGAAUCUCAGCGUGACGGUGGCCGGCAGCAUUGCGGCCCCCUAAGGUGUGCACCCCUCAUACCGGAACCCGUGAAUGUGACCUCACUUGGCAAAAGGGACUUUGCAGAUGUGAUUAAGGUUAGACCUUGAGAUGGCAGAUGAUCCCAGAUUAUCCAGAUGGGCUCCAUCUAAUCGCACGAAACCUUAGGGUUGGAAAACCUUCCUCAGCUGGGCCGGAGAUGGGACAGGAGGACUGGCUCCUCUCCAUGGGGAAGUUAGGGAAAGGGGCUGUGAGCCAGGGAACAGAAGGCCUUCAGAAGCUGGGGACAGCUUCAGGGGGCAGCCGGCAAGAAAACAGGAACCUUGGUCCUGCGACCCUAAGGGGCUGGACUCAGCCAACAACCAAAGAGCAGGAAGCCAGCUGUCUCCCGGAGCUUCCAGAAGGCAGGCAGCCUGCCGACACCUCGAUCUGUGCUGGACUUCUGACCUCCAGAGCCCAUGCGUAACGAAUUUGUGUUGUUGAAGCUGCUUAGUUUGUGGUAAUUUGUUUAAUGAAAAACUACAGCAAUGAGGAGACAUCAAACCCGCAUCGAAGGACACAGAGUUGGUUAUUAUCGAGCACCGAAAUUCCUCAGAACGGCUAAAUAGGAAAACAAGCAAAAAUGAGUAAGCAUUUCACAGAAGAAAAAUGGACAAUAAAAAUAUGAAUAAAUAAUUCACCUAAUUUGUAAUAAGAACAAAUUAGAGCCACAAAGAGAUUCCAUUUCAUUCA
rnacentral:lncRNA from 1 species